rnacentral:rRNA from 1 species
UACGUAGGUGGCAAGCGUUGUCCGGAAUCACUGGGCGUAAAGCGCACGUAGGCGGACUCUUAAGUCGGUGGUGAUAUCCUGGAGCUCAACUCCAGAACUGCCUUCGAUACUGAGAGUCUUGAGUCCGGGAGAGGUGAGUGGAACUGCGAGUGUAGAGGUGAAAUUCGUAGAUAUUCGCAAGAACACCAGUGGCGAAGGCGGCUCACUGGCCCGGUACUGACGCUGAGGUGCGAAAGCGUGGGGAGCAAACAGG